UUAUUGCAAUUAUUAAUCUUGAACGAGGAAUGCCUAGUAAGCAUGAUUCAUCAGAUUGUGCUGACUACGUCCCUGCCCUUUGUACACACCGCCCGUCGCUCCUACCGAUUGAAAGAUAUGAUGAAUUGUUUGGACAAGAAAAGAGGAAAUUAUAUUUUCUUUUUUCUGGAAAAACCGUAAAUCCUAUCUUUUAAAGGAAGGAGAAGUCGUAACAAGGUUUCCGUAGGUGAACCUGCGGAAGGAUCAUUA
rfam:Plasmodium ovale wallikeri genome assembly, contig: contig3001